rnacentral:lncRNA from 1 species
AAAGGGCAUAUACGGUCAAUGCCAUACCCAGUAAAGUCGCCAUUCCCCAUUUUACAGCUGGGGAAACUGAGUUACAGAGCUUUUCUGCACUGAGUCAUCAGGAGCAAAUGCUAGAUCAGAUAGAGUCUCUCUCUCUGCCACCCAGGCCAGAGUGCAGUUGACGCAGGGCAGGGGAGCCCCGAAGUGGAGCAUAGUGUGUCCGGAACUGGUGGGUUCUUGGUCUCCCUGACUUCAAGAAUGAAGCCACGGACCCUCGGGCUUCAAGCGAUUCUCCUGCCUCAGCCUCCAGAGUAGCUGGAACUACAGAUGUGCACCACCACGCCCAGCUAAUUUUUGUAUUUUUAGUAGAGAUGGGGUUUCACCAUGUUG